CGCACCAGCCUUAUCUGUUAUCUCUUGCUCAUCUUCUCCUGUCCACUGUUCCUCUCUCCUCUGUGUCUCUCUCGGUCAAACUCCCACGGGAGAAAAUCCGCCGCCGCCUCCUCCCUCCCUGUCCAGGCCCAGAUCGUCCCGCCCCGCCCCGCCCCGAACCCUCGAUCGCCGCGGCAGAACACCGGCGAUCUGGAAGUAUUGCACUGCCCCGCUCCACCCCGUGGCCGACGACGGACGGCCGUGCCGCGCAGCUUCUCCGCGCCGCCACCAGCGACGGCCGACAGACAGUGACCUAGAAGUUAGGCUACACUGAAUCUGUGCUAAGUUUAUAAGCACUGAGGGUGUUGAAGACAAAGAUGCUGAAGAACGUCUUGAGCCAGUCAUGGAGGAGGGGGCACAUGUGCUACGGGAAGGGCAUCCAGCUGAAGCACUAUAUGCUUGUUCAAGUCGAUUUCACAGCGGGCAGUGUUGUUUGGCCGGAAUCGGAGAUGAACAUGGGUAGUUGGUAGUAAUAGCAGGAAGAUAUUCCUUACUUAUUUUUUUCUUUCAAAAUGCCUUCUAAACAUAAAUGCUGCCAUGGUAACUUCUUAGAUGGCAGGUCACUUAUCUUGUUUUUUCAUGA